rnacentral:rRNA from 1 species
GGGUUAAGUCCCGCAACGAGCGCAACCCCUAUCUUUAGUUGCCAGCGAGUUAUGUCGGGGACUCUAGAGAGACUGCCUGUGUAAACAGAGAGGAAGGAGGGGACGACGUCAAGUCAUCAUGGCCCUUACGCCUAGGGCUACACACGUGCUACAAUGGCGCAUACAGAGUGUUGCAAGCUAGUGAUAGCAAGCCAAUCACAAAAAGUGCGUCUCAGUUCGGAUUGAAGUCUGCAACUCGACUUCAUGAAGCUGGAAUCGCUAGUAAUCGCGUAUCAGCAAUGACGCGGUGAAUACGUUCCCGGACCUUGUACACACCGCCCGUCAAGCCAUGAAAGUCUGGUGGACCUGAAGGCCGUAACCGCAAGGAGCGGCUCAGGGUAAAACAGGUAAUUAGGGCUAAGUCGUAACAAGGUAGCCGUACCGGAAGGUGCGGCUGGAACACCUCCUUU